rnacentral:rRNA from 1 species
CGGUAACAGGAUGUGCUUGCACAUCGCUGACGAGUGGCGGACGGGUGAGUAAUGCUUGGGAACUUGCCUUUGCGAGGGGGAUAACAGUUGGAAACGACUGCUAAUACCGCAUAAUGUCUUCGGACCAAACGGGGCUUCGGCUCCGGCGCAAAGAGAGGCCCAAGUGAGAUUAGCUAGUUGGUAAGGUAAUGGCUUACCAAGGCGACGAUCUCUAGCUGUUCUGAGAGGAAGAUCAGCCACACUGGGACUGAGACACGGCCCAGACUCCUACGGGAGGCAGCAGUGGGGAAUAUUGCACAAUGGGGGAAACCCUGAUGCAGCCAUGCCGCGUGUGUGAAGAAGGCCUUCGGGUUGUAAAGCACUUUCAGUUGUGAGGAAAAGUUAGUAGUUAAUACCUGCUAGCCGUGACGUUAACAACAGAAGAAGCACCGGCUAACUCCGUGCCAGCAGCCGCGGUAAUACGGAGGGUGCGAGCGUUAAUCGGAAUUACUGGGCGUAAAGCGCACGCAGGCGGUUUGUUAAGCUAGAUGUGAAAGCC